rnacentral:rRNA from 1 species
AGCGAACGCUGGCGGCAGGCCUAACACAUGCAAGUCGAACGAAGUCUUCGGACUUAGUGGCGGACGGGUGAGUAACACGUGGGAACGUACCUUUUGGUUCGGAACAACUCAGGGAAACUUGAGCUAAUACCGGAUGAGCCCUUAGGGGGAAAGAUUUAUCGCCGAAAGAGCGGCCCGCGUUAGAUUAGCUAGUUGGUGGGGUAAAGGCUCACCAAGGCUACGAUCUAUAGCUGGUCUGAGAGGAUGAUCAGCCACACUGGGACUGAGACACGGCCCAGACUCCUACGGGAGGCAGCAGUGGGGAAUUUUGUGCAAUGGGCGAAAGCCUGACGCAGCCAUGCCGCGUGAAUGAUGAAGGUCUUAGGAUUGUAAAAUUCUUUUACCAGGGACGAUAAUGACGGUACCUGGAGAAAAAGCCCCGGCUAACUUCGUGCCAGCAGCCGCCGUAACAC